ACGCAGUNCGAAGAUGGUUUCUUGUUCGAUCUGUAGACAGGGAUUCCUUCGUGGGUUGAAAAAUGGAAAGUUUUUACGCUAAGGAACACUUACCACGGCAUAUCGACAAUGAAAUCCUGUAAGCGACGAUCCUUGCAUCGAAAUCUUGAAAGCUACCUAAAUGUCUAUCGACCGUGGUCCGUGGACAAAUCGACGGAAUCGUUUUAAAAUGUUUUUAAUGUCACCCGAAGGAAGAAUGAAAUGAAUGCCGUGUCAUAUGGAAGCUAAGGUUGAGCAAAAUGUACUAUUGUGCAUAUGCAAACAACCCAGAUGAACACUGUGGUAACAACUACAGUAUACUAUAAUAUGCAAGUGACAGUAAGCAAAUGUGAAUAUUAACAACACCAUUACUGAUGCUAUAUGUGUUUAUCAGCUGCCAAAAAUAAUAGCAAAAGACUUCAUAGAAACCAGCUUUAACAACACAAGUCACCCUUAAGACUUCAUGGAAUUAAUCUGAGAAUUACAGAUGGAUGUGGAAUACUCCUACUUA